rnacentral:misc_RNA from 1 species
UAACUAAAGGCAGUAUUAUAUUUUUUGCUCUUUUUUUUUUUUAAUUAUAAAACCUUUUCUCUUAUUUUACUCGUAAUUGUACAAUUGUGUGUGUUUUAGAUUUGCCUGCCUACCAUGUUCAGGCUUCAAUUAAGCCAGUGAGGUUCCUAAUAAUUGAUAAGCUUUUAAGAAUUCAUUCACAAAAUUCAGAUCCUUCUUCAUAGCUAGAUUUGUG